AUUGAACGCUGGCGGCAGGCCUAACACAUGCAAGUCGAGCGGAUGAAGGGAGCUUGCUCCUGGAUUCGGCGGCGGACGGGUGAGUAAUGCCUAGGAAUCUGCCUGGUAGUGGGGGAUAACGUCCGGAAACGGGCGCUAAUACCGCAUACGUCCUGAGGGAGAAAGUUGGGGAUCUUCGGACCUCACGCUAUCAGAUGAGCCUAGGUCGGAUUAGCUAGUUGGUGGGGUAAAGGCCUACCAAGGCGACGAUCCGUAACUGGUCUGAGAGGAUGAUCAGUCACACUGGAACUGAGACACGGUCCAGACUCCUACGGGAGGCAGCAGUGGGGAAUAUUGGACAAUGGGCGAAAGCCUGAUCCAGCCAUGCCGAGUGUGUGAAGAAGGUCUUCGGAUUGUAAAGCACUUUAAGUUGGGAGGAAGGGCAGUAAGUUAAUACCUUGCUGUUUUGACGUUACCAACAGAAUAAGCACCGGCUAACUUCGUG
rnacentral:rRNA from 1 species